rnacentral:rRNA from 1 species
GAAUGCUGACAUAAGUAACGAUAAAGCGGGUGAAAAGCCCGCUCGCCGGAAGACCAAGGGUUCCUGUCCAACGUUAAUCGGGGCAGGGUGAGUCGACCCCUAAGGCGAGGCCGAAAGGCGUAGUCGAUGGGAAACAGGUUAAUAUUCCUGUACUUGGUGUUACUGCGAAGGGGGGACGGAGAAGGCUAUGUUAGCCGGGCGACGGUUGUCCCGGUUUAAGCAUGUAGGCGGAACGAUUAGGUAAAUCCGGUCGUUUUUUAACGCUGAGGUGUGAUGACGAGGCACUACGGUGCUGAAGUAACAAAUGCCCUGCUUCCAGGAAAAGCCUCUAAGCAUCAGGUAACAUCAAAUCGUACCCCAAACCGACACAGGUGGUCAGGUAGAGAAUACCAAGGCGCUUGAGAGAACUCGGGUGAAGGAACUAGGCAAAAUGGUGCCGUAACUUCGGGAGAAGGCACGCUGAUAUGUAGGUGAAGCCCCUGCGGGUGGAGCUGAAAUCAGUCGAAGAUACCAGCUGGCUGCAACUGUUUAUUAAAAACACAGCACUGUGCAAACACGAAAGUGGACGUAUACGGUGUGACGCCUGCCCGGUGCCGGAAG